UACGAAGGGGGCUAGCGUUGCUCGGAAUCACUGGGCGUAAAGCGCACGUAGGCGGCUUUCUAAGUCAGGGGUGAAAUCCUGGAGCUCAACUCCAGAACUGCCUUUGAUACUGGAGAGCUAGAGUCCGGAAGAGGUGAGUGGAACUGCGAGUGUAGAGGUGAAAUUCGUAGAUAUUCGGAAGAACACCAGUGGCGAAAGGCGGCUCACUGGCCCGUUACCGACGCUCAGGCGCGACAGCGUGGGGAGCAAACAGG
rnacentral:rRNA from 1 species